UUAAAAGUAUAUCUUCUUCAAAUCGGGAACAUAUGUAUAUAUAUACUUCGUGCACUCUACUUGACUCUUGAUUGAAGUGAAUCUUGAGAGAUUACAAACCAAAGGGAGUUGAUCCUUGAAAGGAAUCAUAAAUUGAUUCUUUCCAAGAAUACAGUCAAGUUUCUAUUGAUCUUACUUGAUUUGUGGUCUUGAUAGGCUUUUCAUCCGCUGAGCAUAUCUUUUCCGUUACUUGAGUGAUCAGCGAUAGAUCCCUUAAUUUCUGGCUUCAAUGAACUCGAGAGCAGCACUUUGCAAUCUUAUUUCCCUUUGAUUUGGUACCUUCCUAUAAUAGCUUCCGUCAAUUAUCUAUCAAUUCAUUGAUUGAUUAUUCUUCCGGAUCUCCGCUGUUUCUUCCUUUUUCAUCUCUAAUCAUUGAUUCUUGUCAUUUGCUUUGCUUCUAGAGCUCCCGUUAAUAGAUUGUUUCCUUAAUCUAUACUUGAAUGAUAUGGCUUCUUGAUUCCUUUAUUUUAUCCCUUGUGAUCCUGCAUCAAAUGUGAUAUAUUAUUUUUCAUCAUUGAAACUCAUAUUUAAUAGAGUUUUGGGAGGUAGGAUGUAUGCGGCCUUACCCCUACCCUGGAAGGGUAGAGAGACUGUUUCCGAUAGACCAUCGGCUAAAGAAGAUGGAAGAAUCAUUGAUAGCAAGUAAUAGCAAGACAAUAUAUUUUUUUAAAAAAAUCGAAGAUAGCAAUAGAGAAUAUGAAAGAGGUAUCGAUAGCACAAAUAAUAGCAAGACAAUAUAUUUAGAAAAAUAAAUACAAGAUAGCAAUAGAGAAUAUGAAAGAAGUACUGCUAGCAAACUAAGAAAGUACUGAUGGCAAGUAAUAACAAAAUAAUAUAUGAGAUAAUAGCAAACUAAGGAUAAAAGGGGCACCAUACUAACAUUAAUACUAUCGAACUAGUGAAGAUAAAGGGAAACACACGACUACCUACUAACCAGAGGCAGACUCGGGAUUUGAGCCCGACAGAGGCACCCCUAUAAUCACUAGCAACAAACUUCGACAUGCAACUCUUUGAAAACUUAAUGAUUCAGAUGACUUAUCAUCCAAAUAUUAACAAAAAGAAGUUUUAAAGAAAAAGAAAGCAUUGAACAGAGAGAGAGAGAGAGAUUUCUUCGCAAAAUGGUUGCCAUGGGAAGGGAAGGUGUUUGAUUAAACAUGUUUCACACUUAUAAAAUUUCUAUUUUCUUAAUUAAAAAAGGGGCCAGUGAUUAAAAGGACGUUCAAAUUUAAAAUUAGGACUUACUAAAAAUCAAUAUUAAGAGUAUGUUAAUACUAAAAGAUUUGAAGAAGAGUCUCAAACUCUUAGUUGCCACUGUCGAGUCAGAGUGAUUAUUGAAGAACGUACUGGCAGAAGAAUUUGUAUUUUUUUUUUGUGGAGCGGUAAAGUUGCAAUUUGAGGCUUUCAAUUUUAAGGGAGGAAAUUGAAAAGAAUAAAAUUAAUUAAGUUGACUAUUAUGUAUUCGUACUAAACUAUGAUUGAAUUAAAAAAGAAAAAGAUAAAAGUAAAAGAUAAAGUAGUUUACUAUUAAAUAUAAAUUACAUUGUAUUUAAAGAACUAAAAUAACAAAGAGGAGAAAAAGCUGAAAAUGAGGACAAAAGCUGAAGGUUGGUUUCAAACUCGCGUCACCAGCAAAGGAGGAAAUUUAAACGCCCAAAGCAACCACUUCUUCUACCCGCCUCUUUGUAUUUGGGGGAAUAAAUAAAAUAUUUAAAGGGUCCCAUAUGUAUAUAUAGAUUUUUGUCAAGGCUAACGGGGUCCCGUGACCCCUCAACCCGCAACGUAUGUCCGCCUAUGCUACUAAC
rnacentral:lncRNA from 1 species